rnacentral:rRNA from 1 species
GACGAACGCUGGCGGCGUGCUUAACACAUGCAAGUCGAACGGAAAGGCCCUGCUUUUGUGGGGUGCUCGAGUGGCGAGCGGGUGGGUAACACGUGAGUAACCUGCCCUUGACUUUGGGAUAACUUCAGGAAACUGGGGCUAAUACCGGAUAGGAGCUCCUGCUGCAUGGUGGGGGUUGGAAAGUUUCGGCGGUUGGGGAUGGACUCGCGGCUUAUCAGCUUGUUGGUGGGGUAGUGGCUUACCAAGGCUUUGACGGGUAGCCGGCCUGAGAGGGUGACCGGCCACAUUGGGACUGAGAUACGGCCCAGACUCCUACGGGAGGCAGCAGUGGGGAAUAUUGCACAAUGGGCGGAAGCCUGAUGCAGCAACGCCGCGUGCGGGAUGACGGCCUUCGGGUUGUAAACCGCUUUCGCCUGUGACGAAGCGUGAGUGACGGUAAUGGGUAAAGAAGCACCGGCUAACUACGU